CGACAUCACUCACAGAAGAAGCACCGGCUAACUCCGUGCCAGCAGCCGCGGUAAUACGGAGGGUGCGAGCGUUAAUCGGAAUUACUGGGCGUAAAGCGCGCGUAGGCGGCGUGAUAAGCCGGUUGUGAAAGCCCCGGGCUCAACCUGGGAACGGCAUCCGGAACUGUCAGGCUAGAGUGCAGGAGAGGAAGGUAGAAUUCCCGGUGUAGCGGUGAAAUGCGUAGAGAUCGGGAGGAAUACCAGUGGCGAAGGCGGCCUUCUGGACUGACACUGACGCUGAGGUGCGAAAGCGUGGGUAGCAAACAGGAUUAGAUACCCUGGUAGUCCACGCCGUAAACGAUGUCGACUAGCCGUUGGGGUCCUAGAGACCUUUGUGGCGCAGUUAACGCGAUAAGUCGACCGCCUGGGGAGUACGGCCGCAAGGUUAAAACUCAAAUGAAUUGACGGGGGCCCGCACAAGCGGUGGAGCAUGUGGUUUAAUUCGAUGCAACGCGAAGAACCUUACCUACCCUUGACAUCCUCGGAAGCCUGCAGAGAUGCGGGUGUGCCUUCGGGAGCCGAGUGACAGGUGCUGCAUGGCUGUCGUCAGCUCGUGUUGUGAAAUGUUGGGUUAAGUCCCGUAACGAGCGCAACCCUUGUCCCUAUUUGCCAGCGAUUCGGUCGGGAACUCUAGGGAGACUGCCGGUGACAAACCGGAGGAAGGUGGGGACGACGUCAAGUCAUCAUGGCCCUUACGGGUAGGGCUACACACGUGCUACAAUGGCCGGUACAAAGGGAGGCGAAGCCGCGAGGUGGAGCGAAUCCCGAAAAGCCGGUCUCAGUCCGGAUCGGAGUCUGCAACUCGACUCCGUGAAGUCGGAAUCGCUAGUAAUCGUGAAUCAGAAUGUCACGGUGAAUACGUUCCCGGGCCUUGUACACACCGCCCGUCACACCAUGGGAGUGGACUGCACCAGAAGUGGUUAGCUUAACCUUCGGGAGAGCGAUCACCACGGUGUGGUUCAUGACUGGGGUGAAGUCGUAACAAGGUAGCCGUAGGGGAACCUGCGGCUGGAUCACCUCCUU
rnacentral:rRNA from 1 species